ACAGGGGAAAUUUAGAAAAGGAGCAGCGGAUUUUGGAACUUAGGAAUCAGUGCACAAUAAUUAGAACCACGAAACUGGCUGCUGCUCAAGACCGCCUAACUGAUUUGGAGAGGCAAAAGGAUGAUAUUAUGAGGUCCUAUUCCCCUGCCGCACUGCUCGACAAGCUCCAAACAUCAAUGGCAAAGUUGGAUAAGGAGUCCGAGGAGCUGCACCAGAAGUUCCUGGAGAAGGACAUCGACCUUCCAACCUUUGUGCAGAAGUACAAGAAGCUCCGCACGGCUUACCACAAGCAGGCGUUGCUCCAUCUCGCCGGCCAGACAUCACUCCGCUGACAUCCGGCCAGGCGUCAUGGCAACUUUGUUGUA